AACCCAUGUUGAGGACAUUUCUCAGGAUCACCUUGAACCUAUCCCAUGUUUCAAAAAGAGACUCCAAUUCUGUUUGCACAAAAGAGGAUCUUUCAUUCUUGAGCUU